rnacentral:rRNA from 1 species
GACGAACGCUGGCGGCGUGCUUAACACAUGCAAGUCGAACGGAAAGGCCCUGCUUUUGUGGGGUGCUCGAGUGGCGAACGGGUGAGUAACACGUGAGUAACCUGCCCUUGACUUUGGGAUAACUUCAGGAAACUGGGGCUAAUACCGGAUAGGAGCUCCUGCUGCAUGGUGGGGGUUGGAAAGUUUCGGCGGUUGGGGAUGGACUCGCGGCUUAUCAGCUUGUUGGUGGGGUAGUGGCUUACCAAGGCUUUGACGGGUAGCCGGCCUGAGAGGGUGACCGGCCACAUUGGGACUGAGAUACGGCCCAGACUCCUACGGGAGGCAGCAGUGGAGAAUAUUGCACAAUGGGCGGAAGCCUGAUGCAGCAACGCCGCGUGCGGGAUGACGGGCUACGGGUUGUAAACCGCUUUCGCCUGUGACGAAGCGUGAGUGACGGUAAUGGGUAAAGAAGCACCGGCUAACUACGUG